GCCUCUGUAGAGCAGUAGGCAGCGCGUCAGUCUCAUAAUCUGAAGGUCGUGAGUUCGAACCUCACCCGGGGCA
rnacentral:tRNA from 1 species